UAAGUAUCCCGCCUGGGGACUACGGCCGCAAGGUUAAACUCAAAGGUAUUGACGGGGGCCCGCACAAGCAGCGGAGCGUGUGGUUUUAUUCGAUGAUACGCGAAGUACCUUACCUGGGCUGUACUACGUGGUAGUAGUGAAGCUAAAGCGGAUCGACCCUUCGGGGAGCCUCGAUAGGUGCUGCAUGCCUGUCGUCAGCUCGUGUCGUGAGAUGUUGGGUUAAGUCCCGCAACGAGCGCUACCCUCGUCGCUAGUUACAAGUGUCUAGCGAGUCUGCCGGUAUCUAACCGGAGGAAGGUGGGGAUGACGUCAAGUCAGCAUGGUCUUUAUGUCCAGGGCUACACACACGCUACAAUGGUCGGUACAAUAGGUUGCCACACCGCGAGGUGGAGCUAAUCCUCAAAGCCGAUCUCAGUUCGGAUUGUAGUCUGCAACUCGACUACAUGAAGGCGGAGUUGCUAGUAACCGCGCGUCAGCAUAGUACGGUGAUGCGUUCCCGGGCAUUGUACACACCGCCCGUCACAUCAUGGGAGU
rnacentral:rRNA from 1 species